AACGUAGGUGGCGAGCGUUAUCCGGAUUUACUGGGCGUAAAGCGCGUUUAGGCGGUUUGGCAAGUCGGGCAUGAAAUCUCUUGGCUCAACCAGGAGGGGCUGUCCGAUACUUCCAGACUUGAGGGCAGUAGAGGAGGGUGGAAUUCCGGGUGUAGUGGUGAAAUGCGUAGAUAUCCGGAGGAACACCAGUGGCGAAAGCGGCCCUCUGGGCUGCUCCUGACGCUCAAACGCGAAAGCUAGGGGAGCGAACGGG
rnacentral:rRNA from 1 species